UACGUAGGGUGCAAGCGUUAAUCGGAAUUACUGGGCGUAAAGCGUGCGCAGGCGGUUAUGCAAGACAGAUGUGAAAUCCCCGGGCUCAACCUGGGAACUGCAUUUGUGACUGCAUGGCUGGAGUGCGGCAGAGGGGGAUGGAAUUCCGCGUGUAGCAGUGAAAUGCGUAGAUAUGCGGAGGAACACCGAUGGCGAAGGCAGCCUCCUGGGCCAGCACUGACGCUCAUGCACGAAAGCGUGGGGAGCAAACAGG
rnacentral:rRNA from 1 species